rnacentral:sRNA from 1 species
GACCAAUCUAGGGUAGUAUAGAAAGGUAGUAAUAUUUUAAAUUGAUGUAAUCUUUAUUUCAUAAAUGUUUUAUUCUCUUUAAUAAUAUGCAUUACAAAAAAAUAACAAUUGCCAGAGGGCACUUAUUUCAAAGGAAAUAAGAAGGAGGAUUUAACAUGAGUAACGGUAAAGUAAAAUGGUUUAAUAACGAAAAGGGAUUUGGAUUUAUCACUGAUGAAGAAGGUAAGGACUUAUUUGUUCACCAAACUUCAAUCCAAGCUGAUGGUUUCAGAUCAUUAGACGAAGGUCAAGAAGUUUCUUUCGACGUUGAAAAAGACGAAAGAGGACUUAAGGCUGUAAACGUAGUAAAAUUAUAAGAAUUUUUUAA